rnacentral:rRNA from 1 species
UUAGAUACCCUGGUAGUCCACGCCCUAAACGAUGUCAACUAGGUGUUGGGGAAGGAGACUUCUUUAGUACCGCAGCUAACGCGUGAAGUUGACCGCCUGGGGAGUACGGUCGCAAGAUUAAAACUCAAAGGAAUUGACGGGGACCCGCACAAGCGGUGGAUUAUGUGGAUUAAUUCGAUGCAACGCGAAAAACCUUACCUACCCUUGACAUGUCAGAAAGAUUGUAGAGAUAUGAUUGUGCCCGAAAGGGAAUCUGAACACAGGUGCUGCAUGGCUGUCGUCAGCUCGUGUCGUGAGAUGUUGGGUUAAGUCCCGCAACGAGCGCAACCCUUAUCAUUAAUUGCCAUCAUUGAGUUGGGCACUUUAAUGAGACUGCCGGUGAUAAACCGGAGGAAGGUGGGGAUGACGUCAAGUCCUCAUGGCCCUUAUGGGUAGGGCUUCACACGUAAUACAAUGGUCGGUACAGAGGGUUGCCAACCCGCGAGGGGGAGCUAAUCUCAGAAAGCCGAUCGUAGUCCGGAUCGCAGUCUGCAACUCGACUGCGUGAAGUCGGAAUCGCUAGUAAUCGCGGAUCAGCAUGUCGCGGUGAAUACGUUCCCGGGUCUUGUACACACCGCCCGUCACACCAUGGGAGUGGAAUCUGCCAGAAGUAGGUAGCCUAACCGCAAGGAGGGCGCUUACCACGG